UACGGAGGGUGCAAGCGUUGUCCGGAUUUAUUGGGUUUAAAGGGUGCGUAGGCGGCGUCAUAAGUCCGUGGUGAAAGCCAACAGCUCAACUGUUGAACUGCCAUGGAUACUGUGAGGCUUGAGUACAGACGAGGUAGGCGGAAUGGAUCGUGUAGCGGUGAAAUGCAUAGAUACGAUCCAGAACUCCGAUUGCGAAGGCAGCUUACUAGGCUGUAACUGACGCUGAGGCACGAAAGCGUGGGGAGCGAACAGG
rnacentral:rRNA from 2 species